GCUUUGAAGGCUGCAUACUACCCAUCUUGCAUUUUGAUAUUAUUUUGACCUGGACUCAUAUGUGGAUUUCAACUUGAGUGCCAACUCCAGUGACUAGUAAUGGCUGCCUGGAAUUCUGUCCUGAAGAGAAUUUUGAAGAUCAUUAUAUGACCAGUGAGAAUCAGGUUCAUGAAUGAUUAGUCACAUCUGCCAUGUCAAAGGAGUUAGGACUGAUGGUACAUCUGUCAAAUGUUUGCUGUCUCUUAUCUAUUCCAGUCCACUCUUUAUACAAACUAAUGAUAGUAACUAGCUCUGAAUGGCUGCUUCUGCUCAACUUCCCGGAUGCUAGUGGUACGCGGGAUGUAAAGACCUUUUCACUAUCGCUCAUAGGUAAGUGACAC
rnacentral:lncRNA from 13 species